rnacentral:rRNA from 1 species
UGUGAGCUCGAUGAGUAGGGCGGGACACGUGGUAUCCUGUCUGAAUAUGGGGGGACCAUCCUCCAAGGCUAAAUACUCCUGACUGACCGAUAGUGAACCAGUACCGUGAGGGAAAGGCGAAAAGAACCCCGGCGAGGGGAGUGAAAAAGAACCUGAAACCGUGUACGUACAAGCAGUGGGAGCACGCUUAGGCGUGUGACUGCGUACCUUUUGUAUAAUGGGUCAGCGACUUAUAUUCUGUAGCAAGGUUAACCGAAUAGGGGAGCCGAAGGGAAACCGAGUCUUAACUGGGCGUUAAGUUGCAGGGUAUAGACCCGAAACCCGGUGAUCUAGCCAUGGGCAGGUUGAAGGUUGGGUAACACUAACUGGAGGACCGAACCGACUAAUGUUGAAAAAUUAGCGGAUGACUUGUGGCUGGGGGUGAAAGGCCAAUCAAACCGGGAGAUAGCUGGUUCUCCCCGAAAGCUAUUUAGGUAGCGCCUCGUGAAUUCAUCUCCGGGGGUAGAGCACUGUUUCGGCAAGGGGGUCAUCCCGACUUACCAACCCGAUGCAAACUGCGAAUACCGGAGAAUGUUAUCACGGGAGACACACGGCGGGUGCUAACGUCCGUCGUGAAGAGGGAAACAACCCAGACCGCCAGCUAAGGUCCCAAAGUCAUGGUUAAGUGGGAAACGAUGUGGGAAGGCCCAGACAGCCAGGAUGUUGGCUUAGAAGCAGCCAUCAUUUAAAGAAAGCGUAAUAGCUCACUGGUCGAGUCGGCCUGCGCGGAAGAUGUAACGGGGCUAAACCAUGCACCGAAGCUGCGGCAGCGACGCUUAUGCGUUGUUGGGUAGGGGAGCGUUCUGUAAGCCUGUGAAGGUGUGCUGUGAGGCAUGCUGGAGGUAUCAGAAGUGCGAAUGCUGACAUAAGUAACGAUAAAGCGGGUGAAAAGCCCGCUCGCCGGAAGACCAAGGGUUCCUGUCCAACGUUAAUCGGGGCAGGGUGAGUCGACCCCUAAGGCGAGGCCGAAAGGCGUAGUCGAUGGGAAACAGGUUAAUAUUCCUGUACUUGGUGUUACUGCGAAGGGGGGACGGAGAAGGCUAUGUUGGCCGGGCGACGGUUGUCCCGGUUUAAGCGUGUAGGCUGGUUUUCCAGGCAAAUCCGGAAAAUCAAGGCUGAGGCGUGAUGACGAGGCACUACGGUGCUGAAGCAACAAAUGCCCUGCUUCCAGGAAAAGCCUCUAAGCAUCAGGUAACAUCAAAUCGUACCCCAAACCGACACAGGUGGUCAGGUAGAGAAUACCAAGGCGCUUGAGAGAACUCGGGUGAAGGAACUAGGCAAAAUGGUGCCGUAACUUCGGGAGAAGGCACGCUGAUAUGUAGGUGAAGCGACUUGCUCGUGGAGCUGAAAUCAGUCGAAGAUACCAGCUGGCUGCAACUGUUUAUUAAAAACACAGCACUGUGCAAACACGAAAGUGGACGUAUACGGUGUGACGCCUGCCCGGUGCCGGAAGGUUAAUUGAUGGGGUCAGCGCAAGCGAAGCUCUUGAUCGAAGCCCCGGUAAACGGCGGCCGUAACUAUAACGGUCCUAAGGUAGCGAAAUUCCUUGUCGGGUAAGUUCCGACCUGCACGAAUGGCGUAAUGAUGGCCAGGCUGUCUCCACCCGAGACUCAGUGAAAUUGAACUCGCUGUGAAGAUGCAGUGUACCCGCGGCAAGACGGAAAGACCCCGUGAACCUUUACUAUAGCUUGACACUGAACAUUGAGCCUUGAUGUGUAGGAUAGGUGGGAGGCUUUGAAGUGUGGACGCCAGUCUGCAUGGAGCCGACCUUGAAAUACCACCCUUUAAUGUUUGAUGUUCUAACGUUGACCCGUAAUCCGGGUUGCGGACAGUGUCUGGUGGGUAGUUUGACUGGGGCGGUCUCCUCCUAAAGAGUAACGGAGGAGCACGAAGGUUGGCUAAUCCUGGUCGGACAUCAGGAGGUUAGUGCAAUGGCAUAAGCCAGCUUGACUGCGAGCGUGACGGCGCGAGCAGGUGCGAAAGCAGGUCAUAGUGAUCCGGUGGUUCUGAAUGGAAGGGCCAUCGCUCAACGGAUAAAAGGUACUCCGGGGAUAACAGGCUGAUACCGCCCAAGAGUUCAUAUCGACGGCGGUGUUUGGCACCUCGAUGUCGGCUCAUCACAUCCUGGGGCUGAAGUAGGUCCCAAGGGUAUGGCUGUUCGCCAUUUAAAGUGGUACGCGAGCUGGGUUUAGAACGUCGUGAGACAGUUCGGUCCCUAUCUGCCGUGGGCGCUGGAGAACUGAGGGGGGCUGCUCCUAGUACGAGAGGACCGGAGUGGACGCAUCACUGGUGUUCGGGUUGUCAUGCCAAUGGCACUGCCCGGUAGCUAAAUGCGGAAGAGAUAAGUGCUGAAAGCAUCUAAGCACGAAACUUGCC